GUUUUAGAGUGUGGACAGUGAAGCAAGAAUGUACCCUCAUUUACCGCAAGGUGUUGAAGAAGAAGAAAAGGUUGCAGAGAUGGAUAAAAUAAAGUCUACACCCAGGUGAAUCACAUGAGUGUAGAUGCUGUAGAAAUGGCAACACUCAGAAAAACAGUUGGACUGUUUCUGCUUUUGCUAUCUUAAAAGCAAUACUCUUAAAUUUUAUAAAACAUAGAUGAUAUAAUAGAGUUUUCUAAAGGGUAGACUGUGUUAUGCUACUGACUUGUUAUAUAACACAUUUUCACAAAGUGAAUGGAUGAGGAAUAACCUUACUUUCCACUUCCUUUUAGGAGGAACCCAAGAAAUACUCCAGGGUAGGACCACUUUAAAGACAAUAAUGCAAGAAAUCAAACAUUUCUCUGUCCUUUUGUGUAGUUCUUAAAGUCAUAUAUUUAAUCUACUUUUCAUUUUGGCCCUUUGGAUUUGUGUCAGGUUUAGAAGUUCUUCCAUGUGAAUAGGGUGCUGUAGUAUUAAGUAAUUUUAAAGUCACAUAUUACGAAAGAUCAUGUAUGCCUUUAUUAAGCCACAAUAAGGUGGUGAUGAUUUUGUUUUUUAAUCUUACAAUUUAAUGACAUUUAUCUGCUUUUUACCUCCCCCAGGGAAAGCUUUACAAAAACCCACAGAGGUACGUGUACCAUAUGAGAAGAUGCUACAAGACCAGUCAGCUUUGAUAGUACAGGGGCUUCCAGAAGGUGUUGCCUUUAAACACCCUGAGAAUUAUGAUCUUGCAACCCUGAAAUGGAUUUUGGAGAACACAGCUGGGAUUUCAUUUAUUAUUAAGAGGGGUUGUGGAAAAGGAAAGUGGUAGAAAGUAAAUGACACAGUGACAGAAGAAUUUGACCUAAAUAACGAGAUGCUGGAGUGUGAAUGCUUCGGUGAAGAAUAUAGACCAAAAAUUUAUGAUCAAGCGGGGUCUGAUGAGAAUGCCGGGGAUCACCAAAGAAGACUCGAGUCAGCUUUGUACAGCAGGAAGCUGAGGACUUCUCUUUGUUAUCAGCUCUCCAAAUCAGAUGUGAGUGCUCAGAGCCAGGAGAGGAGAAGCGGAGGGAAGGAGGAGGCUGCCCCCAUCCCGAGUGCAGAAUUUUCUCCAGGAUAUUUAAAUGAAGAAAGCAGCAUUCUCCAGUGGUUGAAGGUGUUUGAGCAGAGGGAGGUGGUAAUGUCAGGACCUUGGAGGACACAGGUGUCACCUGAUCCUCAGGUCAGACACCAUACUGGUCAUUAUGGUAGGAGAUACACUUGGAGCUGUGCACAGAGAGGAUGCCAAAAGCAGAGGAAUGUGAUGGAGAAUAAUGCUGGAGCUCAAAGAGCCUGCGGUAGGGAGUUGUAUGUGUCCACUUGGCUAGGAUGUAGCACCCAGUUACUCAAUCCAACACUAAUCUAAGUGUUGCUCUGAAGGGAUUUUGUAGAUUGGGCUAACGUCUACUAUCAGUUGACUUCAGAUAAGGAGAUUAUCUUCAAUAAUCUGAAAAGGCCCCAUUUGAUCAGUUAAAAGGCCUAAAGAGUGGAAUUGAGGUUUCUCUGAGGAAGAAGAGAUUCUUCCCCAAGACUGCAGCAUCAUCAGCUCCUGCCUGAGCACUUGCACCCUGCUGACCUGCCCUGAAGAUUUCAGAAUUUGCCAACCCCACAAUUUCAUGAGCAGAUUCCUUAAAGGAAGUCUUUUUUUUUUCUUUUAUUAUUAUUAUUAUUAUUAUUAUUAUUAUUAUUAUACUUUAGGUUUUAUGGUACAUGUGCGCAAUGUGCAGGUAAGUUACAUAUGUAUACAUGUGCCAUGCUGGUGCGCUGCACCCACCAACUUGUC
ensembl:lncRNA